CGAUGACUUCGUGGACUGGCUGCCGGAGAUUGCCGAGGCCACCUGUGGGAAGGAAAGCCUCAUCUUCCAGUACAGCCUCAGCCAGGUCGAAGAAGAAACUGGUAUAAAGUUAAAUCUAGAGGGCAUGGUUGAUCUUACUGCUUCGCCGGACCCUGCUACUGGGUGCAGAAUGCUACCAUCACCGGGUGGCUGUGACGAAGAGAUUUGCAUGUUCCUUUAUAGGGGGCACGUGGGCGAGGAGACUAUUAGGCUCUCCAAGGGAAGGAAACGGGCCUGCGGGACCAUGGCGAGCUGAUCAAGCUGCGUGUGGUCCCCUAUGACCAGCUCUGGCGCACGACGUCAGAUGCAAAGGCGCUCUCGGCAAUAGCUCUGUACGAGAUGGGUGCCAAUAGACUGCAUAAAGCUUCAU